rnacentral:rRNA from 1 species
UACGUAGGGGGCAAGCGUUGUCCGGAAUCAUUGGGCGUAAAGAGCGUGUAGGCGGCCCGAUAAGUCCGCUGUGAAAGUCCAGGGCUCAACCCUGGAAUGCCGGUGGAUACUGUCGGGCUCGAAUCCGGAAGAGGUGAGUGGAAUUCCUGGUGUAGCGGUGAAAUGCGCAGAUAUCAGGAGGAACACCAAUGGCGAAGGCAGCUCACUGGGACGGUAUUGACGCUGAGACGCGAAAGCGUGGGGAGCAAGACGG